AUUGAACGCUGGCGGCAUGCUUUACACAUGCAAGUCGAACGGUAACAGGCCGCAAGGUGCUGACGAGUGGCGAACGGGUGAGUAAUGCAUCGGAACGUGCCCAGUCGUGGGGGAUAACGCAGCGAAAGCUGUGCUGAUACCGCAUACGAUCUAUGGAUGAAAGCGGGGGACCGUAAGGCCUCGUGCGAUUGGAGCGGCCGAUGUCAGAUUAGGUAGUUGGUGGGGUAAAGGCUCACCAAGCCAACGAUCUGUAGCUGGUCUGAGAGGACGACCAGCCACACUGGGACUGAGACACGGCCCAGACUCCUACGGGAGGCAGCAGUGGGGAAUUUUGGACAAUGGGCGCAAGCCUGAUCCAGCAAUGCCGCGUGCAGGAAGAAGGCCUUCGGGUUGUAAACUGCUUUUGUACGGAACGAAACGGCGAGCUCUAAUACAGUUUGCUAAUGACGGUACCGUAAGAAUAAGCACCGGCUAACUACGUGCCAGCCGCCGCGGUAAUAC
rnacentral:rRNA from 1 species